UACUUACUCCCACUCUCUCUCUUCCUCUUUCUCAUAUUUCUCUUUCUCUCUCUCUCUCUCCAUUUCUUUCUGUGAAGAACAAUGGAGAACAGCCCUCAGCAAGCAGCGGCGGCUGCAGCCGCAGCCGCAGCUCAGACGGCCGGCGGGUACCCGCCGGCGCAGCCGCCGUACCACCAUCUCCUCCAGCAACAGCAGCAGCAGCUGCAAAUGUUCUGGACGUACCAGCGGCAGGAGAUCGAGCAGGUGAACGACUUCAAGAACCACCAGCUCCCUCUGGCCCGCAUCAAGAAGAUCAUGAAGGCGGACGAGGACGUGCGUAUGAUCUCCGCGGAGGCGCCCAUCCUGUUCGCCAAGGCCUGCGAGCUCUUCAUUCUGGAGCUCACCAUUCGCUCCUGGCUCCACGCCGAGGAGAACAAGCGCCGCACCCUACAGAAGAACGACAUCGCCGCGGCCAUCACCCGCACUGACAUCUUCGAUUUCCUCGUCGACAUUGUGCCCCGCGACGAGAUCAAGGACGAGACUGCUGCCCUCGUCGGCCCCGCCGCCGCCGCCGCCGCCGGAAUGGUCGCCGGCUCCACCGCUAGCGGCGUCCCGUACUACUACCCGCCAAUGGGCCAGCCCACGCCCCCCGGUGUCAUGAUUGGAAGGCCCGCCGUGCCUGGUGUGGAUCCGUCCAUGUACGUCCAGCCUCCGCCACCGCCGUCGCAGGCAUGGCAGUCCGUGUGGCAGCCUCAGGAGGACAAUUCCUACGCCAGUGGAGGCAGCAGUGGCCAGGGAAACCUCGACGGCCAAGGAUUUAGGUAAUAAGUUGGCGUUACUUCAGGAUUUGAAUUUUGUGUGCAAGAUGGUACCUCAGGUGUGUCUGAGGGGGUUGUUUUCGGAUGAUUGGUGGCAAAAGGAAGCUGCCUUGCCCCGUCUCUCUAAUUCAAUUUGGAGUUUCUCUUCUAAAUUGCAAAAAUGAAUGCACCUUAUAACUAGUGUCUGUGGAUACUGUGUUAACCAUGGUAUUAGAUAUAUGUAUAAAAACUGGAUUUUGAUUAGUAACUCUUUGUUUUUUUCUUGAAAUAAUCCUUCUGGGGAUUGGAUUCUGUAACAUGCUCCUGCUGCUGCUUUAGCUUCAUCAUCUUGUGUUCCUUGUCCCU